AGCGGAGCGUGUGGUUUAAUUCGAUGUUACACGAAGAACCUUACCAGGGUUUGACAUGCAAGUGGUAGGAAGCCGAAAGGUGACCGACCCUUCGGGGAGCUUGCACAGGUGCUGCAUGGCUGUCGUCAGCUCGUGUCGUGAGAUGUUCGGUUAAGUCCGCUAACGAGCGCAACCCUCGCUGUGUGUUAUAUGUGUCACACGGGACUGCCGGUCUUAAGCCGGAGGAAGGUGGGGAUGAUGUCAAGUCAGCAUGGCCUUUAUAUCCUGGGCUACACACACGCUACAAUGGCCAACACAAUAGGUUGCUAAGCCGCGAGGUGGCGCCAAUCCAUAAAGUUGGUCUCAGUUCAGAUUGUAGGCUGCAACCCGCCUGCAUGAAGAUGGAGUUGCUAGUAACCGCAGGUCAGCCAUACUGCGUUGAAUACGUUCCCGGGGCUU
rnacentral:rRNA from 1 species